UCUCCGUUGGUGAACCAGCGGAGCGAUCAUUAAAGAGUUCUAUAACUCCCAAACCCAUGUGAACAUACCUUACGUUGCCUCGGCAGGUCGUGCCUACCCCGUAGCGCCCUACCCUGUAGGACCUACCCGGUAGACGCGGGUAAGCCUGCCGGCGGCCCACGAAACUCUGUUUAGUAUUGAAUUCUGAACCUAUAACUAAAUAAGUUAAAACUUUCAACAACGGAUCUCUUGGUUCUG
rnacentral:misc_RNA from 1 species